UAGACUAUCGAUUUUACAAAGUUGCAAACAUUUAUUUUAAUGACAAUUAUAAUUUAUCGCCUGGCUUAUAUUAUCUCAUAUACUUUGAAAUUCAAUACAUUGACUUCUCCUAUAUAAUUUUACAUUGAUAUACUUUGAAAUACUUAUUUAAAUAUAAACAUUGAGCAUUAAAAAAAUAGACCGGAACAUAACAGUGGUCCAAGUCUAAAUUUUAUUCUACUAAUCCAAUAAUACAUAAUCAUUCCCGACAGCAAAAUGGGCAAAUUAUUCUAUGAACCCAGGUCCACCUUGUAAGAUGGACUCAGGUCUAAAAAUACACAACUUACAUACUAAAUGUUCAUAAUUUUAAUUAUAUGCUAAAUGUUCAUAAUUUACAUCCUGAAUGUUCAUAAUUCGAAUUGUAACAUUCAAUAUAUAAAUUGUAUAUUUUGACCUAGGUCCACCUUGCAAAAUGGACCCGAGUCCAUGGCAGAACUGUCCAGCAAAAACGGCUGGUUACUUGAAGCACACAAGACAAUUGGCAAUCAUUGGUAUCAAAAUUAAAUGAAGUUCAGGUGAUUGCUGUCAUCAUGUAUAGAAAAACGAAAAAAAAAUGUCUAGAUCUAAAGUAAAACUAAAUAAUUAGAGGGGUUCAAGCAAAAACGAGAUUAAUUGUUUUAAGAUG